GAAAGUGGGGGUAAUUUGGUCUUGUCGCCAGACCGUGGUGAUCAGGUUCUUCAAAGCAGCGCGCGGCCGGUGGAGCUUCGGUCGGUGGAGAGAGCGAGAGCGAGUGCGAGGUCUCCAAAUUCCCAAUGGCGGACGACGAUUACAACGACAUGGACAUGGGGUAUGAGGAUGAGCCACCAGAGCCUGAGAUUGAGGAAGGGGCAGAGAAGGAGGAUGCAGAUAAUAACAAUGAAGAAAUUCCUGAUACCUUUAUAGGCACAGAAGCUGAGGAAAAGGAGGAGCAAGCACCAGUGGAACGACCUCGGAGAACUUCGAAGUACAUGACCAAGUAUGAGCGUGCAAGAAUCUUGGGUACACGUGCUCUUCAGAUUAGCAUGAAUGCUCCUGUGAUGGUUGAGCUGGAGGGGGAGACUGAUCCACUUGAGGAGAUUACUUUCAUGUUCUAUAUUGACAUGCAACCAGCCAUACCUCAGUGAUCGCAAGCUGACAACCCAGCCUCAGAAGUAGAAUGAUCCCCGUUUAUGGAAUAGUAUAGUGCAAUUUAACAUGGUGUUUGCUUGGUUAGUGAAUGCUCUCUUCUGACCGGAUUGCAAUGAAGGAACUUAGGGAACGAAAGAUUCCUUUCACUAUUCGCCGGUACUUACCUGAUGGAAGCUAUGAAGACUGGGGAGUUGAUGAGCUGAUUGUGGAGGACUCUUGGAAAAGGCAAGUGGGUGGCGACUGAUGGCAAAUACAUAGAUUGUAGUUACUCUAUACAACUUUUGUGGUCUUCAUGCGAGAAACUGCUAGCUUCCUCUAGUUUCCAGUGAUGGUUUCAGUUCUUUGGAUAGAUUGAUGGCAGAUAUAUUGAAGUAGAAGGCUUUAUAGCUAGAAAUAUACUUGCAAUGGUAUAACUAUGGUGGUUUCAGUUCUAUGGAUAGGUUGUCAGCUUGCUCUGGUUUCUAGUCUUGGUAUGGUACUAAAGUUUGGAGGUUUUGCUCAUGGGAUCUAUUCAAGGACCUUUAUGACGUAUUUGUAGUCCACUGUUUAUCUUUAUUUGAAAAUUAACACUGCAUGUGAUCCAACUGGGAACCUCUCCUGAGCUCAGUUGCUACUGGGAGAGGUGCCAACCAGCAAUUGAACUAGGUGGAUUGAAAUGCACUGUAUGCUUGUUUUCUCUGAUUGCA